UUAAAUUGAAGAGUUUGAUCAUGGCUCAGAUUGAACGCUGGCGGCAGGCCUAACACAUGCAAGUCGAGCGGUAGCACAGAGAGCUUGCUCUCGGGUGACGAGCGGCGGACGGGUGAGUAAUGUCUGGGAAA
rnacentral:rRNA from 1 species